rfam:Helianthus annuus linkage group 2, whole genome shotgun sequence.
AGAGGGUCGAUGAUGAUGCAUUUCACUUUGUUAUCCUUGCACUUUGAUACAUAUAUGAAGAAAACUAUGGGGAAAGUUAUUCUGAGAGCUUU